GACGAACGCUGGCGGCGUGCCUAACACAUGCAAGUCGAACGGAAAGGCCCUGCUUUUGUGGGGUGCUCGAGUGGCGAACGGGUGAGUAACACGUGAGUAACCUGCCCUUGACUUUGGGAUAACUUCAGGAAACUGGGGCUAAUACCGGAUAGGAGCUCCUGCUGCAUGGUGGGAGUUGGAAAGUUUCGGCGGUUGGGGAUGGACUCGCGGCUUAUCAGCUUGUUGGUGGGGUAGUGGCUUACCAAGGCUUUGACGGGUAGCCGGCCUGAGAGGGUGACCGGCCACAUUGGGACUGAGAUACGGCCCAGACUCCUACGGGAGGCAGCAGUGGGGAAUAUUGCACAAUGGGCGGAAGCCUGAUGCAGCAACGCCGCGUGCGGGAUGACGGCCUUCGGGUUGUAAACCGCUUUCGCCUGUGACGAAGCGUGAGUGACGGUAAUGGGCAAAGAAGCACCGGCUAACUACGUG
rnacentral:rRNA from 1 species